rnacentral:lncRNA from 1 species
CUCUUAAACAAAAAGCUUCACAUCUGACAGGCUGUGCCGACAGCACAUUCUCUGGUGACUUUGGUUUCCCAGGGAUCCUUGUGAUAUAUUUAUUCAUUCCCAUGUCAGGACUCUUCUUUUCAGCUGGCAGUUUUAGCUGGAGCCCCUCUUAAACUGCCAAACCCUCAUUGACAUUCAGAUGUGGUAAAAGGAGGGAAACUGAAUAGUGUGAGAAUGGUGGGUUCCUGAAGCACUAUGACAUUUGAUUUAAGGAACAGUGUCUGGAGGAGUAUUGGGAAUGGACGAAUUGGUGAUUUUGCUCUUUGGCAACAUUGGUAGUGCUUAGGAAGGCAGUGGAGUAUAGCUAUUAAGAGCUUGGACUCAUGGCCAGGCAUGGUGGCUUAUGCCAGUAAUCCUAGCACUUUGGGAAGCCGAGGUGGGUGGAUCACGAGGUCAGGAGUUCAAGACCAGCCUGACCAAUAUGGCCAAACCCCAUCUCUACUAAAAAUACAAAAAUUGGUCAGGUGCAGUGGCUCACACUUGUAAUCCCAGCACUUUGGGAGGCCGAGGCGGGGAGAUCACCCGAAGUUGGGAGUUCGAGACCAGCCUGACCAACAUGGAGAAACCCCGUCUCUAUUAAAAAUACAAAAUACAAAAUUAGCUGGGUGUGGGUGGUGCAUGCCUGUAAUCCCAGCUACUCAGGAAGGCUGAGGCAGGAGAAUCACUUGAACCAGGGAGGCAGAAGUUGCAGUGAGCCAAGAUCUUGGCAUUGCACUCCAGGUACCUGUAGUCCCAGCGAGGCUGAAGCAGGAGAAUGGCCUGAAUCUAGGAGGCGGAGGUUGCAGUGAGCCGAGAUCACACCACUGCACUCCAGCCUGGGUGACAGAACUAGACUCAGUCUCAAAAAAAAGAGCUUGGAGUCAGCAGAUGGACUACGUGGCUUUUGUACUUUUUAGCUCUGGUAACCCAGAGCAAUUAAUUUACUCUGCUUUGCUGUCUUAAUCUUUAAAUAACAGUACUUCAAGGGGUGGUGUGAGGCUUAAAUGAGAUCAUUCAUGUAUGAGGGAUAGUUAUGUGAGAAAAUUAAUUAGAUAAUGUCUAAAACAUACAUGUCGACAACAAUAAAAAAUACUGUGCUUUAUUAAGUUAGGGGAAUUGGCUUAAAACUGCAAAAUGAAUGUUAUAGAAAUUUAGUGAGCCAACAAAUAGUUUUUAAAUACUUUUCUCUUCCUUAAGCUUUUCUCCAUGGAAUCCUUCUGUACAUGAUGAAGCCAGAGAAAAGAUGCUGACUCAGAAAGUAAGUGGAUAACAACUUAUGAAAUGGCUAACUCAUUGUUUCUUUUCUAAAAUGUCUUCAUUUGGAGACUGCUCAUUACAUACAAGUAACUUUUUUUGGGAAACAAGUUUGUACAGUGCUGAAAUCUCCUCACCAGUAAUUUUUUAAAUAUCUGUUUUGAUUGUGCCUAGAAGAAGCCUGAAGAACAGCACAAUAAAAGUGUUCAUGUUGCUGGCCUGUCAUGGGUAAAGCCUGGCUCAGUACAGCCUUUCAGUAAAGAAGAGAAAACAGUGGCGACUUAAGAGAUGGUGAAUCUGGUGCACCAUGCACUUUCCUGCUAGACUCUGGCCUAGUUCAAGCUGACCAAUGGCAGAGGACUGCCUGAAGAGUAAAACUGUGUGAACAAUGACUGACUGCCAGUGUUUUCCAUGUAUGCAUAGGUUCUAACAGCAGGGUUUGGAAACCUGUCUCUAAGUAAUGCAUUACUUCUGUCAGAAGUGUCUUAGGGUGGUUAUCUAGUUCAGUACUCCAAAUUAUUGGGGACCUUGAGGCUUAAGUAAGUAUUUUUCUGAAUAUAAUGCUAAAGGUAAGUUGCAUUCAUUUAAACUAAUAGAGCAGACAGAAUUCAGCACUACUUAAUAGUUUAUAAAUCAGUGGUUUCAGUUGUAUAUAUGUUAGGAAAUGGAGAGGUAUAGAGAGAGCAGGUUCCAUAGCUCAGCACUUUUAAGUGGAAGAUCAUUUGAAUCUCAGUCUUCAGCCUGCACUGAUUUGUAGCCUGCACUGUCUUACUGAUUUACAAACUGAAAUCACUGAGAAAUGUCUUUAGUUCAGUGAGAAGAAACCAGAACACUUGUUCCUAGUGUUGUGUUGUUUUUUUUAAGCAAAUUACUUACUGUAUUUUUAUGGCAGGAGGGAGAAAAAGUGUUACAACGGUUUCUAAUGAAGUCCGGUAUUUAAAUGAUAAAUGACUAAUGUGUUUAGUAGAGACAAAAUAAACCAAUAAAUGAUUGUUCUUUGCCAUUUAUGCAGGAAACUACCCUUUUCUCAAUAUAACCAAACAAAGGCU